rnacentral:rRNA from 1 species
GCGAAAACUUUACAAUGCUGGCAACAGCGAUAAGGGAACCUCGAGUGCCAGGUUACAAAUCUGGCUGUCGAGAUGCCUAAAAAGCAUUUCAUAGCAAGGGCCGGGCAAGACCGGUGCCAGCCGCCGCGGUAACACCGGCGGCUCGAGUGGUAACCGUUAUUAUUGGGUCUAAAGGGUCUGUAGCCGGCCGGAUAAGUCUCUUGAGAAAUCUGGCAGCUUAACUGUCAGGCCUUCAGGAGAUACUGUCUGGCUCGAGGCCGGGAGAGGUGAGAGGUACUUCAGGGGUAGGGGUGAAAUCUUGUAAUCCUUGAAGGACCACCAGUAGCGAAGGCGUCUCACCAGAACGGACCUGACGGCAAGGGACGAAAGCUAGGGGCACGAACC